CAGCACCUCAAGUGGUCAGGAUGAUUAUUAGGCCUAAAGCAUCCGUAGCCGGCGCUGUAAGUUUUCGGUUAAAUCUGUACGCUCAACGUACAGGCUGCCGGGAAUACUGCAGCGCUAGGGAGUGGGAGAGGUAGACGGUACUCGGUAGGAAGGGGUAAAAUCCUUUGAUCUAUUGAUGACCACCUGUGGCGAAGGCGGUCUACCAGAACACGUCCGACGGUGAGGGAUGAAAGCUGGGGGAGUAAACCGGAUUAGAUACCCGAGUAGUCC
rnacentral:rRNA from 1 species